AUGGUGGCCUCAGCAAAAAAGAAGAAUAAGGGGAAGACUAUCUCCCUAAUAGACUUUCUGGCUGAGGAUGGGGGGACUGGUGAAGGAAGCACCUAUGUUCCCAAACCAGUCAACUAGGCUGAUGAAACAGAUGACCUGGAAGGAGAUGUUUCAACCACUUGGCACAGCCACGAUGACAUGCGUAUGGGGCACCUUCAAUCCACCGUUCCAUCCUUCCCACUGCUCCACGGGCUGCUCGGGAACCCAGUAUCGACCGGAGGCGUCUUCCCAAAUCGCCACCCUACCCUGCUUUUCUGGGGAACCUGCCCUAUGAUGUGACAGAAGACUCGAUGAAGGAAUUCUUGAGAGGUUUAAAUAUCAGUGCAGUUCGUUUACCACGUGAACCCAACAAUCCAGGGCGGUUGAAAGGUUUUGAUUAUGCCGAGUGUGAGGAUCUGGAUUCCCUGCUCAGUGCUCUGAGUCUCAAUGAAGAGUCUCUAGGUAACAGGAGAAUUCGAGUGGACGUUGCUGAUCGAGCUCAGGAUAAAGACAGGGAUGGCCGUUCUUUUGGCCGGGAUAGAAAUCGAGAUUCUGACAGAAGAGAUACAGACUGGAGGGCCCGCCCUGCCACAGACAGCUCUGAUGACCACCCGCCUGGAAGAGGUGGUGAUAGCUUUGGAGACAAAUAUCAAGAGCGUUAUGAUUCAGACCGGUAUCGUGAUGGGUACCGGGACGGGUAUCGUGACGGCCCACGGCGGAAUAUGGAUCGGUACGGGGGCCGGGAUCACGAUGAAGACCGUGGCAGCAGGGACUGUGAUCGAGGCUCUGAUUCCAGGAUAGGCAGUGGCAGAAGCACAUUUGGUAGCAGGUACCGAAGAGAUGACCACUACGGAGGAGGCGGGGAACUCUAUGAAGACCCAUAUGAAAGGCGGGACGAUGGGUCAUGGAGCUCCAGGGAUGACUUACUCUCGAGAUGAUUCCAGGCGUGAUGACAGAGGUCCCCCCCCCAAAGACCCAAACUGAAUCUAAAGCCUCGGAGUACUCCUGAGGAAGAUGAUUCCUCUGCUAGCACCUCCCAGGCCAGCCGAGCAGCUUCUAUCCUCGGAGGGGCAAAACCUGUUGACACAGCUGCGAGAGAGAGAAGUGGAGGAGCGGCUUACAGGAAGAGCAGGAGAAACUGCAGCGCCGGCUGGACGAGCCAAAGCUGGAACGGCGGCCUCGGAAGAGACACCCAAGCUGGCGAAGUGAAGAAAUUCAGGGACCGAACGGUCGAGGACAGGAAGUGAGUCAUCACAGACUGGGGCCUCAGCCACAUCUGGCAGAAGGAAGUCAGAUCAGGAUGCAGGAAGGAGAGAGAGGGAGAAGUCUCUAGAAAAUGAAACAUUCAAUAAGGAGGAAGGCUGUCACUCUCCGACUUCUAAACCUCCCAAACCUGAUCAGCCCCUCCACCAAAGGAGAAUGUUUGGGUGAAGCGAAGUUCUAACCCUCCCGCUCGAUCUCAGAGCUCAGACACAGAGCGGCAGUCCCCUACAAGUGCUGGGGGGAAAGUAGCUCCAGGUCAGUCAUCUGAGGAAGGACCAACUAGGAAAGCAGAUGAAAAUAAAGUAGAUGGGAUAAGUGUCCCAAAAGGCCAAACUGGGAUCUCCAGCCGUGGUCCAGAAGAUGGAGGAAACAAAGACCACUGGAAGGAUUCAGAUAGGAAAGAUGGCAAAGAGGAUCAAGACUCCAGAUCUGCACCUGAGUCAAAGAAACCCAAGGAAAUUCCAGCCUCUAAGUUCAGUUCUGCAAGCAAGCAUGCUGCCCUCUCCGUUGAUGGGGAAGAUGAAAAUGAGGGAGAGGAUUACACCGAAUAGACUUCAACAUCCUGUGCUUUCUCCUGGUCUCUCUCCACCCUGGAACAUUCAAGAGCAAAUCAAACCUCUAUCCAGACAAGGCAAAAUAAAACUCACCAUCUCCUGGA